rnacentral:rRNA from 1 species
GGACCCGCACAAGCGGUGGAGCAUGUGGUUUAAUUCGAUGCAACGCGAAAAACCUUACCUACUCUUGACAUACUUGGAAGCUCUUGUAAUGAGAGUGUGCCUUUUGGAACCAAGAUACAGGUGCUGCAUGGCUGUCGUCAGCUCGUGUCGUGAGAUGUUCCGUUAAGUCGGAUAACGAGCGCAACCCUUACCCUUAUUUGCCAGCGAUUCGGUCGGGAACUAUAAGGGGACUGCCGGUGAUAAACCGGAGGAAGGUGAGGACGACGUCAAGUCAUCAUGGCCCUUACGAGUAGGGCUACACACGUGCUACAAUGGGGAAUACAGACGGACGCUAAGCCGCGAGGUGGUGCUAA